AAUGCACCCACCCUUAUCAUCAUCGCUACUUGCUACUUUCUUGUGAGCAAUGGAAAUGUAGACUGUAGGUGCCUUAAACUUUCGCUUGUGUUUCCUCACCAGGACGGGACUCACUGUCAGGGACUAUAAAGUGGCCACAGCUGACCUUUCCACAUCUGACAGUGGAAAGGGAGUCCAGCCUCAGAGUUUUGUUGCAGAGGCAGUGUGCAAAGAGCCCGUAGAGUAAUCUCAGGAUGCCCUGCAGGAGGCUCAGCACUGAUGUUGCGGACCCCUGAGCUCCACCGUGUUCACAUCAAUGUCAAUAAUCAAAUAUUGUCACAGCACAAGAGCUUUGUUUUGUGCAGCCAAACCCAAGCACUGGAUGGAAACCAAAGGUUUAUGUGUGAGAGGAGCCGGCUUCUUUUCAUUACUGCAUGAUUUUAAGCCAAUGACCAAGGAAACAUCUUAAAAUAAUCCAGGAAUGAUGGCAGGACUAAUGCAGAGUGUUGGUGCAGGACACCUUUCCAAAGCUAUUGCGUUAUUGUGAUAGCAUAUUGAGCCCCAAAGAAGAAAUCUCUUGUUUUCUUUCUCUUGCUGCACUUUAUAGAUAGAGCAAGACUAAACCAUCCUGAGUCUAUUAAACAAAUUUAUAACCAAUAAAACUAUUCAAAAGUGUCGCAGUCUCAACUCAAGAAUGUAUAAUUAUGCUUAUGUAUAAAUAUGCUUACCAAUGAACUUACUGCCUCCUUUCUUGUGUUUUCAUGUUAUCUUGUGGUGAAAAGUAACUCAG
rnacentral:lncRNA from 1 species